UACGUAGGGGGCAAGCGUUGUCCGGAAUCAUUGGGCGUAAAGCGCGUGUAGGCGGUCCGGUAAGUCCGCUGUGAAAGUCGGGGGCUCAACCCUCGGAUGCCGGUGGAUACUGUCGGGCUUGAGUACGGAAGAGGCGAGUGGAAUUCCUGGUGUAGCGGUGAAAUGCGCAGAUAUCAGGAGGAACACCAAUUGCGAAGGCAGCUCGCUGGGACGUUACUGACGCUGAGACGCGAAAGCGUGGGGAGCAAAAGGG
rnacentral:rRNA from 1 species